UCUUCUUCCCCAGUCCAGGAAUUCCUACAGCUAAAAAGGAUUGAAACAAAAUAGAAAUAUUUUUGAGCAGACUAUAUGAUACAAUGUACUAAGAUUUAGAAUCUAGAUAAUUCCAAUCUAUGAGGUUAUAGAGCAAAAUAGUUGAUGAUUUCAAUGACUAUUACUAUUAUGCCUGUAAUUUAAAAAAUGUACUCUAUACAGUGGGUU
rnacentral:miRNA from 1 species